UACGAAGGGGGCUAGCGUUGUUCGGAAUUACUGGGCGUAAAGCGCACGUAGGUGGUUUGUUAAAUUAGAAGUGAAAGCCCUGGGCUCAACCCGGGAAUUGCUUUUGAGACAGGCAAGCUUGAAUCCAGAAGAGGGUAGUGGAAUUCCCAGUGUAGAGGUGAAAUUCGUAGAUAUUGGGAAGAACACCGGUGGCGAAGGCGGCUACCUGGUCUGGUAUUGACACUGAUGUGCGAAAGCGUGGGGAGCAAACAGG
rnacentral:rRNA from 1 species